rnacentral:rRNA from 1 species
AGUCGAGCGCUCGUAGCAAUACGGGAGCGGCAGACGGGAGAGUAACACGUGGGAACGUACCCUUCGGUUCGGAAUAACCCAGGGAAACUUGGGCUAAUACCGGAUACGUCCGUAAGGAGAAAGAUUUAUCGCCGAGGGAUCGGCCCGCGUCCGAUUAGCUAGUUGGUGGGGUAAUGGCCCACCAAGGCGACGAUCGGUAGCUGGUCUGAGAGGAUGAUCAGCCUCACUGGGACUGAGACACGGCCCAGACUCCUACGGGAGGCAGCAGUGGGGAAUAUUGGACAAUGGGCGCAAGCCUGAUCCAGCCAUGCCGCGUGGGUGAUGAAGGCCUUAGGGUUGUAAAGCCCUUUCGGCGGGGAAGAUAAUGACGGUACCCGCAGAAGAAGCCCCGGCUAACUUCGUGCCAGCAGCCGCGGUAAUACGAAGGGGGCUAGCGUUGCUCGGAAUCACUGGGCGUAAAGCGCACGUAGGCGGAUCGUUAAGUCAGGGGUGAAAUCCUGGAGCUCAACUCCAGAACUGCCUUUGAUACUGGCGAUCUCGAGUUCGGGAGAGGUGAGUGGAACUGCGAGUGUAGAGGUGAAAUUCGUAGAUAUUCGCAAGAACACCAGUGGCGAAGGCGGCUCACUGGC